GACGGAGGGUGCUAGCGUUGUUCGGAAUCACUGGGCGUAAAGGGCGCGUAGGCGGCCUUGCAAGUCGGUUGGUGAAAGCCCGGGGCUCAACCCCGGAGGUGCGGCCGAGACUGCAGGGCUGGAGGCCGGAAGAGGAGGGUGGAAUACCCAGUGUAGAGGUGAAAUUCGUAGAUAUUUGGGAAGAACACCAGUGGCGAAGGCGGCUCACUGGCCCGUAACUGACGCUGAGGUGCGAAAGCGUGGGGAGCAAACAGG
rnacentral:rRNA from 1 species